rnacentral:rRNA from 1 species
GAUGAACGCUGGCGGCGUGCCUAAUACAUGCAAGUCGAGCGAACGGACGAGAAGCUUGCUUCUCUGAUGUUAGCGGCGGACGGGUGAGUAACACGUGGAUAACCUACCUAUAAGACUGGGAUAACUUCGGGAAACCGGAGCUAAUACCGGAUAAUAUUUUGAACCGCAUGGUUCAAAAGUGAAAGACGGUCUUGCUGUCACUUAUAGAUGGAUCCGCGCUGCAUUAGCUAGUUGGUAAGGUAACGGCUUACCAAGGCAACGAUGCAUAGCCGACCUGAGAGGGGGAUCGGCCACACGGGAACUGAGACACGGUCCAGACUCCUACGGGAGGCAGCAGGAGGGAAUCUGCCGCAAUGGGCGAAAGCCUGACGGAGCAACGCCGCGUGAGUGAUGAAGGUCUUCGGAUCGUAAAACUUUGUUAUUAGGGAAGAACAUAUGUGUAAGUAACUGUGCACAUCUGGACGGUACCUAAGCAGAAAGCCACGGCUAACCACGU